GUCUGACCGAGCAACGCCGCGUGAGUGAAGAAGGUUUUCGGAUCGUAAAACUCUGUUGUUAGAGAAGAACAAGGAUGAGAGUAGAACGUUCAUCCCUUGACGGUAUCUAACCAGAAAGCCACGGCUAACUACGUGCCAGCAGCCGCGGUAAUACGUAGGUGGCAAGCGUUGUCCGGAUUUAUUGGGCGUAAAGCGAGCGCAGGCGGUUUCUUAAGUCUGAUGUGAAAGCCCCCGGCUCAACCGGGGAGGGUCAUUGGAAACUGGGAGACUUGAGUGCAGAAGAGGAGAGUGGAAUUCCAUGUGUAGCGGUGAAAUGCGUAGAUAUAUGGAGGAACACCAGUGGCGAAGGCGGCUCUCUGGUCUGUAACUGACGCUGAGGCUCGAAAGCGUGGGGAGCGAACAGGAUUAGAUACCCUGGUAGUCCACGCCGUAAACGAUGAGUGCUAAGUGUUGGAGGGUUUCCGCCCUUCAGUGCUGCAGCAAACGCAUUAAGCACUCCGCCUGGGGAGUACGACCGCAAGGUUGAAACUCAAAGGAAUUGACGGGGGCCCGCACAAGCGGUGGAGCAUGUGGUUUAAUUCGAAGCAACGCGAAGAACCUUACCAGGUCUUGACAUCCUUUGACCACUCUAGAGAU
rnacentral:rRNA from 1 species